GGGGCGGGCGAACCGGCCAGGAGGAAAAGCCCCAAGGACCGGGAAGAUGGAGGCGGCCGCAGCGGGCGAGGGGCGGGGACCCUCGCCUCCCCCUGCGGGGUCACCUUGGCCAGGGCCCCCGCGGCCCUUGGCUGCCGCGGAGGUGAUAGAAAUGCCUCUUGGAAGGCCCUGAUUUCCCCGCCCAGUCCAGAUCCAGGACCGCGCAGGCAAAGGCCUUUCAAUUCCGACAGGUUCGAGGCCACGCUUCUCUCUUCCAGCUUUGCCUUGUCUUCAGCCUCAGUUGCCCUCCUGGUGAAAUAAGCACAAGGCCUGGCACAACCAAUCCAGGAUUCCGUUAUCUUGGUGACAUCCGCCUGGACAACCUGGGUCCCCUAAUCUGAGCGCCGCCGGGGUCAUCGCACUUGGCGUCAGUAAGUUCAAUGAGUUGGUCACUGAAAAGUGGAUGUAAGUCAGUAACGCUUGCACACCGCAGCCAAGCUGUUUCCCACCUUUUCCUGGGAAGCUCAGACUUGGCGUUCUUUAGUGUUUUCUUUGGGCGAGUCUUGAGUCCACGCCUAAUAUCUUUUUACCUGUCUGGUGACAAAUCUCAGUUCAAAAAGACAGCCCUCCUGAUCCGAAGUUGGACUUGAACUCAGGAAACGAAAAGGCACUUCAAAGUCAGCAUCACCAGUAGGUGAAGUACUGACUCCGGGUUGGAAAUCUGUUAUUCGGGCAUUUGAUGCCUCGGUCUGCGCCAGAGCCACAUCAAGACAUGAAUCUUGAUCAUGGGGCAUCCCCAUUCCCAGGCACUGCUCUUGGCACACGCUCCUGGUCUGGUGCGAAGGGAGAAUUCAGACUGGAAUCCAAGGCUGGGUGGUGAGGCAUGACCCCUCCUCACUGCAAUCUGGGAACAUGGAGGUACACUUACUAUAAACUAGGCAAGUGGUCCCUUAGAUGUCAAGCCUGGUCCAGUUUCACAACCUAGCUGGUGUCCUCGUAACUACUGAGAGAGAAAAAAGUAAACAAAAUUUGGAUGUUUUCUGCAAAACCAACAAGAUUAAACACAGAAGCCUGAAAUCCCAGCACUUGGGAGGACCACCACAAGUUGGAGGUUGGCCUGAAUUACAUAGUGAAUUCCAGGGCCACCUGGGCUAUGUAUAAAGUGAGAUCUUUAUCAGCAUUUAAAAAUAAUGUGUUCAAAGCCAGCCUGGUUUACAUAACAAGUCCCAAGACAAUCAGGGCCACAUAGAGUGAGCCUGUGUCAGAAAAAAAAAAAACUAAAUAAAUACGUAAAUAAAAAGGAGUGAAGACAGACUGCUAAAUUAGGUGUAGAAGUAACUCAGGCCUCAAUCCAGGCAGCUGGUCCUCAGUGGGCUGAGCUAGGAGUGUCUGGAUUUUAAAGCUGGCUGGGGAUACAAGAUUCUAUCCUAAAUACCCAUCCUCAAGGAGACCACUUCUCUCUCUGUACUAUUUUCUCUCUACAUUUUUCACUGUAUUCCCAACAACUUCAAGAGUAACUCCCAUUAUUCCCAUUUUACAAAAGUGGAAACUGAGGCAAAGGGACAUUGACAUAGUCAGUGGUUUUGUUGUGGUUGCUUGUUUUGUUUUUCAACAUAGGGUCUCUGUGUAGCUGGCCUCAAAGAUGGGCCUGCCACUGCUUCACUAGUGUUGGGGUUAAAGGUGUGCCCCACCCCCACCUCAACUUCCCCCCUCCCCCACUCCACCUCAACCUUCAUUGAUAACGAGGUUUUAUAAAUUAGUAGGAGGCAGCCAGGCAUGGUGGCACACGCCUUUAAUCCCAGCACUCGGGAGACAGAGGCAGGCGGAUUUCUGAGUUCGAGGCCAGCCUGGUCUUCAGAGUGAGUUCCAGGACAGCCAGAACUAUACAGAGAAACCCUGUCUCGAAAAACCAAAAAAAUUAAAAACAAAAAAAAGUUAGUAGGCAUAGUUCAGGUUGCAGUCUCAGUGGUUUGAUUCCAAAGUAUGUACUUGAAACCCACUGCCUCCCUAGGACAUCAGAUACUGGGAAAGGUAGGGAAGGAACUAUAGGGGUCAGGACAUUUUUUUUGGAGUUCUUCAUGAUAAACAAUGAGUAAAGAUCCUCUCUGAUCUUAGUGUCUCGGUAGUGGCCCUCUCCUCUCUCAGAGCCCUUCUCUAAAGAGGCAUCCUUCCUCUUGUGCCAAGGACGUGGAAGGAGGAGUGUUUUCUCUAGAAGAUGGUAAGCCCCCAAGGUAGGAUUCACGUGUUUUCCCCUUCGGAGGAGUAAAUGCCUCCAAACUAUGACUGCGUGGUAUGUCUGAAGGAUGAAUUUGGUGUCCUAAUCUUUUACUGGUAAACAUGUAUUGAACUGGGGGUUUAGCUCAGUGGGACAGUACAUGUUAGCAUCACCAAGAACAAGCACAGCAAAGAAACCAUGUGUUGAAUAUGUCUUCAGCCCACAUCCAUUCAAAAACUGCUUAUUAAGAUCUUUUGUUCGUUUAUUUGUUUGCAUGUUAGUUUUUGAAGCAGGGUCUCACUCUGUGACCGCAGCUGAUAUGGACUUGUUUUAUAGACCCGGCUGGUCUUGAAUUCAGAGAGGUCUGGAGAGAUGGCUCAGUGGUUAAGUAAGUACUCCUUGCUCUC